UAUGAGCAGGCGCUAAACCUGGUUUAGGUAUUUAGGCAGCGCGCGGCCCGGCUCGUAACUCCUCCUGCUGCAGCAGGCGUAUCGUUGGCCUCGCCUCGACCCCGGAAGUGACUUCUGGAAGUGACCCAGGAAGUGACAUACUCUGAGCAGCUACAAAAAGAAGACCAGUCUAUCCUGCUGGAGACAGUGGCCACGUGAAGAAAGAGCUCUUGCAGUAUGAAAGACCACAUGGAAAGAGAGGCCACAUGGAACCAACAGUCAGCAUCUUGGUUUCGGACACGUGAAGAAAUUCAUCUCAGACUGUGUAUCCUAAAUCAGGCACUUGCUGAAUCUAACUACAUGAGUGAGACCAGUUGACAACACAUGGAGCAGACAUGAGCUGUUCUCAGUGAGUCCUACACAAAUUCCUGACUCACAACACUGUGAGCAAUAAAAUGGUUGUUAUUUUAAGCCACUGAA
rnacentral:lncRNA from 10 species